UUUGAAAACGGCAGCUCCCUAUCGGAAGGUGCUGUUUUCCACGACCCCAGAACGAUGCUGGCCCUUGUGCCCCACCCUAACCUGCGACCCUUUCUGCCCAGAGAUGAAAUGAGCUCCUGGGGCCGAAGGGUAAGAGGAAUCCAGAGCCUAGAAGCUGCGGGCUCGGUUGUUUUUGUUUUGGUUUUUUGGUUUUUGGUUUUCGGUUUUUUUUCCAGAAAGGAGGAGGCCUGGGAACACAGGGAGCUGUGGAUGGGGGGCGCUGCAGAGCCUCUGAUGAGAGGAACACAGCCAAUCAGAGCGGACUGUUAAACUCCCACACAGUCUCCUGGGGUAACCGGGCCCUGGCAGCAGACGCGGCAGACACGCAGGGUGAAGCCUCUCUGAGCCUGCACCGCCCCGCCCCUCCCACGUGCCUGUCAGCCAUUGUCACCUUAGCUCUGGUGACCCAGCCUCCAACCGCUGAGGGGCCGUGAGCCACGGGUGGGGGAUCCACGGAGAGAGGCCCGAGGGACCUCGCAGACAGCAGCGUCUCGGAGGGGACACUGCGAGGGGACACUGUGGGCUGGCAAGGAGAGGGUGGGAGCUGAGGCCUGGAGAAGCGGGGAGAGAGCAUCCGGAGAGCGCAGGCGGCAGAGAGAAGGCCUGCGGCAGGAUUAGCCUCCCGGGACCCCCGCGAGACCAUGUGGAAAACAAGCUAAGCUGCCGGGCAGCAGCAGGCAGUGCCAAUGCGCGUGCACUAACUGCUUGGCCAGUGAUCGCUGCGGAAGAUGGAGGCUUGGCUGAGGGCCUGGGAAAGGGCAGCUUCCUGACCCUGAGCUCGCGUACUAAGGCUCUGACCGGUCCCGGCCAUAAGGUAAGGGAGGCCAAGGCGGGGCUGCCCUGUCCCUGCCACUGUGGCUGCGUCUCACCGGUGAGCCAUGAGAAUGGUGCCUUUACCAUGCGUCCCCAGCCCUGUGCACAGCCGAGCAGCAGAGGUGGCCAAGCCAUGCGGCCUUCCAGGGCUUCAGGGUCCCCAGGCGCUCUCCGCCUGAGCCCACAUGCCACCUGGGGAGGACCGAUGUCCUGUGCGUGGUCCAAGGGCUACCAGCAGCCCUCAACACCAGGCACACACAGGUUGUAACAAACAAAAUCUGCCCAGAUUUCCCAGAGGUCCUCUGGGGAGCAAAAUCCUCCCAGAUGAGGAUGGCUGCUCUAGUGGAAAGGUAGGACCUAGUGCUCCCACAGAGAGAGUAGAGAACCCCAUCGGUGACCACUGCGGGGACAGGGCCACACUCCAUGAGGAGCCCUGCUCACAGCCCUGUGCUCUCCCCCGUGUCACACUGGCCGCUGUGCUGCUGGCCCGGGCCCACUCUUCCCCAUCUGGAGCCCUGAGCCUGCCCUUCCAAACUCACCUGCUCCCAGCUCUGCCUCUGUCCUUCCCCCAGACGUCCACUCAGACACCACUGCCACUUCCGGUCACAGUGUCUAACACACACACCUUGUCACCCUGUCUGUCCCUCUGCUAUGGUGUGGAUGUGACCUGAAUGCCUCUCCUGGGCUCCUGGAAGCUGUGUCCCAGCAUAAUGAUCUUCAAAAGGGAUGGAAAAUUAAGAAGUGGCGCUUAGUAUGGGGGGUUGGAUCAGGCAUGUGAGGUGUUCAUGGGAGCCCGGGAGGUUCUGAGAGCCUUAUAAGAGCUGGCCGGCCCUGCCCCCACUGUGCCUCUGCUGUCCUGUCUCACCGAGUGAUCUGACCCCCAUGCACUCCCACCAUGACACUGUGACAGCCCUGGGGGGCCCUCACCCGAGAUGAAACCAAUGGUGUUACCCUAUCUCGGGCUUUAGUUCCAAACACGAGAGCUACAUAAACCUCUCUUCUUUAUAAAACACCCAGUCCCUGCUGUUUUGUUAAAGCAAUUGAAAACAGCCUAAUGCACACUUUAUCUUAUUUGUUCAGUGCGGCUGCUUAACUUUGGGGAGGAUGCCUGUCUUGCUGUGCUGUCUUCCUUGCCAGAUGAGACUCCGGGAUGCUCAUCCUAGCACAGGUCUUAGCCUGGCCAUUGUUAGGGUUUAUAUGUGGAUGUCCCAAAACCUCCUGCUCUCAGAGCUGGGGCUUUGGGGAAGGUGAUUGGCCCAUGGCUUAAGCAGGUCACUGAGGGGGUGACCUGGAAAGGCUAUAACUCCCUCCCCACCUCCUCCCGUGACUCUCCAAGCCUCCUGUUCUCCUUGCCCUGGGCAGCUUUCCUCCUGAUGCGCUGUCCUGCCUUGGAGCCAGCCAACUCCGGCCUGAAACACGAGCCAGAAUAAACCUGUCCUCCCUAAAGUUGUGGGUGCCGGGUAUUUUGUUCCAGCAACAAGAAAAGUGACUGAGACACACAGCAAGCACAGAGCAGUACCGGAGGGACUGGGGUCUGAGAAACGUGGGCUGAGCCAACUGGGGCUGCUGCAGACAGCAAGGCUGGGCCAGGCCCCCAUCCAGGCGGGGACAAGGGUGGCCCUCACCCUGUGGAUUGGUGGGACCACACUGCCCAGGUGACAAAGGAGCUCACACCCAGAAUGGGACUGCAAAGAGGACACCACCCGAGAGUGGAGGGCGCUGUGCCGGCUGCUCCCCGUGAAAACAGCCCCCAGCCCCGCAGCCACGGGGCCCAGGAACCAGAAUACACGUGUGCAUCUCAAGCCUACUUCAUAUUUGCACUGGUUUUAUUUUGGAUUGUAUGUUUUAUUUUAGAUUGUAUGGCACUUGGGAAACCCAAGGACACUUAGACAAUGCCCGCCGACCUCCAGUAUUUGGGUGGGCUGGCUUUUCAGGCUGAGGUGCUGUCACAAUGCCCCACCCAAGGCUGUGUGCUCUUCCUGAGGUCUCCUGCGAGGUCUGGAAAGCUUUUGAAAAUUAAGGUCUCCCUAGAAUCUUCAGGACUACCUUCUAAGGUAGGGAGGGGAUAAAGAGGUAGGGCUGUGCAGAGCUUGGCCCUCACUGUCCGAGCUCCAGCCCUUAGUUUCCUUGUCGGCACAGUGGGCGUGGACACAGGUGUCAUAAGGGUGACAGAAAAUGGCACCAACACAGGCACGGGACAUCUGUGCCACCCUGUACUCUCAUUUUGGUAGCGUGUAACAACUCUCAGGCAUUUCUUAUUUCCAUUUCUGCUAGGUAGUUUCCUGUAGGCAAGGUUGGAGACCAUCUUACUGACUCUGUUUCCGCAGCACUGACCACAGUGUCUGAGAUGCAGCAAGCACCGAAAUCAGUUGGUAAAUGAAUAAGUGAAGUGAGGAGCUAAAGAAUUAAUUUUACAAUGAGUGAAUGAGUGGAACUCUUAGCACAGAGCCUAGAAGAUCGUAAGCAUUCCAUGUACUAACAGCGCCACAUAUCAUCUUCUGUACAUCGUUUCGUCUUUUGCUGUUAGACCAGAAGGGCCUUUCGGUAGGGUCGCAAGCCGGGUGGGUGUAAUGGUAAACCGUGAUGGGUCAGUGGGACUUGAGUGAGAGGCGUCUGGCUGACAGGUAAAGUUCUGGGCGUGUGUAAGAGCCUGACUGAACCAGAGCGACUCCAUGUUGACCGGCAAACGACCUAGAGACUGUCGCU